CCCGGGAGGAGAAGCCCUGAGCCCGGCACCCCAGGGUGGAGAGGAGAUGGGGGUCCCCAGGGAGACCCCGGCCUGGAUGGUCCCCCGGGGCCAGUGGGACCCCCAGGUCCCCCCGCUCACCCGACCUCGUGCCAGAAAGGGCAGCAGGGAGCACAGGGCAAGAAGGGGAACCGUGGCAGCCCCGGCCCCGGGGGACAGAAGGGCUACGGAGGCACCCAG